CGUGUAGGCGGCUUGGUAAGUCUGAUGUGAAAGCCCGGGGCUUAACUCCGGAAGUGCAUUGGAAACUGCCUGGCUUGAGUACGGGAGAGGAAAGUGGAAUUCCGAGUGUAGGGGUGAAAUCCGUAGAUAUUCGGAGGAACACCAGUGGCGAAGGCGGCUUUCUGGACCGAUACUGACGCUGAGACGCGAAAGCGUGGGGAGCAAACA
rnacentral:rRNA from 1 species